rnacentral:lncRNA from 1 species
GUCGCGAUGCUGCCUCGGGGCACACUGCUAAUACGGGGUACGAAAGUAAAUCCGACGGCCCACUGUUCCGGGCUUGACUCGCCCGUGGCCUCGGAGCCUGGCCUGUCCCGAGCCCGGUGCCUCUUCUCCCGGGAGUGUGUGCCGGCCAAGAGCGCGAGAUAUGGCGGCGGCGGGAGGAAGGCGCCCCUAAAUGCCAGGACUUCUUCCCUUCAGUAGGUCGUCUCUGCUCCUGGGCCCAGGCUGGCCCUGACCCUGCGGGGCUGCCCCCAGGGGCCUUUUCUCCCUCCUCUGCUUUCACAUAAACCUGUAAUCAUCGUCUGCGGAUUAACCAUGGCCAGGAAUAUUCAAUAGGAUACAACUCUGCAGAGUCCCCAGAAUAUUGCUUUGAAAAGGAGGAAAAAACCAAACCCAAUCACCAAGAAACAACUUUCCCAGGAAGGGCGCCCAGGGAGACCCCGGGAGGGGCGGGGCGCAGGCUGAGGUGAGGCGGCGCCUGGGCCCCCCCUCAUGCUACAAGGCCGGCGCCCCCGCCCCACUACAGGGGGCCCACCUGCUCUCCGAGGGGAAUAGGAGACUCCACCCCCAGGCGGCUCCUGCCACCGCUCCUAGGCUGGGAUUCUACUCCUUGGAGAGCUUUUUGUCAUUAAAAAUAAAUAAAAUAAGACUCCUUCCUCCCGCCCAUGCGUGUGCUCUGGCUAGCAGGCUAGGAGGGCUCCCACGGGUGAAGAAAACACGGGACAUGGAACAGACACAGAGCUCUCCCCAAAACAACCAAGUCACCGGGGCGGCUGCCCCUCCCCAGGACAUGAAGCCCCACCCCGGUAACUUGCUGGCAAGAGUUGGCCCCAUUUUUUCCAGAUGGGGAAACUGA